GUCUCCUACGGGGGGCAGCAGUGAGGAAUAUUGGUCAAUGGACGCAAGUCUGAACCAGCCAUGCCGCGUGCAGGAAGACGGCUCUAUGAGUUGUAAACUGCUUUUGUACGAGGGUAAAUGCAGGUACGUGUAUCUGUUUGAAAGUAUCGUACGAAUAAGGAUCGGCUAACUCCGUGCCAGCAGCCGCGGUAAUACGGAGGAUCCAAGCGUUAUCCGGAUUUAUUGGGUUUAAAGGGUGCGUAGGCGGUCGGAUAAGUUAGAGGUGAAAUCCCGAGGCUCAACUUCGGAAUUGCCUCUGAUACUGU
rnacentral:rRNA from 1 species